CCUACGGGUGGCUGCAGUGGGGAAUAUUGGGCAAUGGGCGCAAGCCUGACCCAGCAACGCCGCGUGAAGGAAGAAGGCUUUCGGGUUGUAAACUUCCUUUAUCAGGGACGAAGCAAGUGACGGUACCUGAUGAAUAAGCCACGGCUAACUACGUGCCAGCAGCCGCGGUAAUACGUAGGUGGCAAGCGUUAUCCGGAUUUACUGGGUGUAAAGGGCGUUUAGGCGGGAGUGCAAGUCAGAUGUGAAAACUAUGGGCUCAACCCAUAGCCUGCAGUUGAAACUGUACUUCUUGAGUGCUGGGGAGGCAAGCGGAAUUCGGGGUGUAGCGGUGAAAUGCGUAGAUAUACGGAGGAACACCAGUGGCGAAGGCAGAUUGCUGGACAGGAACUGACGCUGAGGCGCGAAAGCGCGGGGAGCGAACAGGAUUAGAUACCCGGGUAGUC
rnacentral:rRNA from 1 species